CCUACGGGUGGCAGCAGUGAGGAAUAUUGGUCAAUGGACGCAAGUCUGAACCAGCCAUGCCGCGUGCAGGAAGACGGCCCUAUGAGUUGUAAACUGCUUUUAUACGGGGGUAAACGCAGAUACGCGUGUCUGUUUGUAAGUAUCGUACGAAUAAGGAUCGGCUAACUCCGGGCACGCAGCCGCGGUAAUACGGAGGAUUCAAGCGUUUUCCGGAUUUAUUGGGUUUAAAGGGUGCGUAGGCGGUCGGAUAAGUUAGAGGUGAAAGCCCGAGGCUCAACCACGGAAUUGCCUCUGAUACUGGUCGACUUGAGUGUAGUUGCGGUAGGCGGAAUGUGUGGUGUAGCGGUGAAAUGCAUAGAGAUCACACAGAACACCGAUUGCGAAGGCAGCUUACCAAGCUACUACUGACGUUGAGGCACGAAAGCGUGGGGAGCAAACAGGAUUAGAUACCCUAGUAGUC
rnacentral:rRNA from 1 species